rnacentral:rRNA from 1 species
UUAGCUUACAUGGAUACCGUGGUAAUUCUAGAGCUAAUACAUGCUGCACAGACCCGACUUCCGAGGGAGGGUUGUAUUUAUUAGAUAUCAAGCCAAUAGUCCCCUAAUCAGGGACUGUUGUGGUGAAUCACAGUAACUGAUCGAAUCCCGGGUCAGCCGGGAUAAAUCAUUCAAGUUUCUGGCCCUAUCAGCUUUUCGAUGGGUAGUGGUAUUUGGACUUACCAUGGGCCAGUCCCCGGGGUAAACGGAGAAAUUUAGGGUUUCGGGUUUCCCGGGAAGAAGGGGAAGCCCUGGAANAAAANCGGGCUU